rnacentral:rRNA from 1 species
AUGUUACGCCAAUUUGAACUUGCUCGGUCUAUUCAAUUGCGGCCUUAUAAUGCAAUCUCAUUCUCUGGUCCAAUUGCUGUUUUUGUUUCUGUAUUCCUUAUUUAUCCACUGGGGCAAUCUGGUUGGUUCUUUGCGCCGAGUUUUGGCGUAGUAGCGAUAUUUGGAUUCAUCCUUUUCUUCCAAGGAUUUCAUAAUUGGAUGUUGAACCCAUUUCAUAUGAUGGGAGUUGCCGGAGUAUUAGGUGCGUCUCUGCUAUGCGCUAUUCAUGGAGUGACCGUAGAAAACACUCUAUUUGAGGACAGUGAUGGUGCAAAUACCUUCCGUGCUUUUAACCCAACUCAAGCUGAAGAAACUUAUUCAAUGGUCACUGCUAACCGCUUUUGGUCCCAAAUCUUUGGUGUUGCUUUUUCCAAUAAACGUUGGUUACAUUUCUUUAUGCUAUUUGUACCCGUCAUCGGUUUAUGGAUGAGUGCUAUUGGCGUAGUUGGCUUGGCUCUGAACUUACGUGCCUAUGACUUUGUUUCCUAG